rnacentral:rRNA from 1 species
UGGGGAAUAUUGCACAAUGGGCGCAAGCCUGAUGCAGCCAUGCCGCGUGUAUGAAGAAGGCCUUCGGGUUGUAAAGUACUUUCAGUCAGGAGGAAGGGUGUGAAAUUAAUACUUUCAUGCAUUGACGUUACUGACAGAAGAAGCACCGGCUAACUCCGUGCCAGCAGCCGCGGUAAUACGGAGGGUGCAAGCGUUAAUCGGAAUUACUGGGCGUAAAGCGCACGCAGGCGGUUUGUUAAGUCAGAUGUGAAAUCCCCGGGCUCAACCUGGGAACUGCAUUUGAAACUGGCAAGCUUGAGUCUUGUAGAGGGGGGUAGAAUUCCAGGUGUAGCGGUGAAAUGCGUAGAGAUCUGGAGGAAUACCGGUGGCGAAGGCGGCCCCCUGGACAAAGACUGACGCU